rnacentral:lncRNA from 1 species
CACAGUUUCACUCUGUCCUGUUGUGUUGUCAGCUGGCUUUCAGCAUUCCCUUGUCCCCACAGAAACCUCGACACGGAUCCCUUGCAUGGAUGGGUGUUGUACAAAGGGAGCUUUCAUUCCUGCUUUGGCACCUGCAACCCUGGGCUAACAGUACCAUGGAGCGGAGGAAGCGUUUACCGAAGAGUGUGGUGCCACGAUCCCGCCCCGGGCAGCAGUUGAGCAGAGAGAUAUCAAGGAAAAAGAAUUCACAUCAUUGUAUCUCACAGAGGACAAAGCCUAGAAUUUUCUACAUUCAAUCAGUGAAUAUUGAGGAGUGGGGAAUCCAUGAAUUCAUUAUGUGGCCCUUCUCUAUUCCAGGACACAGGGACAGCACCAUCUGUGAAGAAUGGGCCUUCACCAGACACCAAACCUACAGGAAAUAGAGCUUGGACUUCCCAGCCUCCAAAACUACAGGAAAUAAAUUUCUUUUCUUUACAAAUUUCCCAGUCUCAGGCACUCUGUUGUAGUGGUGAAAUGGACUAAGACAAUGGCAAGGAUUUUAAAACUGCAUAUUAGUUGGUAAAUAUCAAAUUAUUGAUUAGCAAUAUAAAGUUAUAUUGGGGAGCCUACAGAAAAAUAAGAAUUUGCAUAUGCCAAUAAUAUCAAUGCAAAUGUUUGGAGGACGGUUUUUGUGAAACUUUAAAAUAUGUAUGUUACCCAACAAUUCCACAAUUUUAGGAAUAUGUAUAAAGAUAAAUGUGCAAGGAAGUUCAUUGUGGUAUUGUUUGCAAAUUGAAAUAAACAACACAAAAGAAAAGAACAGCAGCAACAAGGGCAAAAUAAACCUAAGUUGUCCUCAAUAGGGCACAGGUUUAAUAAAUUUCAGUACAUUCACCCAAUAGCAUAUUUCCUAGCACUAAAAAUAAUUUUUAAAAUCACAGUGCACUACUACAAAAAGCCCAUAAAACACUGGUAAAUAAAAAUGUUUCCAGGCAAUUCUGUAUCAUAUUAACCCAUCUGUGUAAAAAUUUCUGGAAUACUGUAAAUAUAUAGAAAGUAUAUUGAGACAAAAAAACACUAUUCAAAUUACC